UACGACCGUAUCGCGUUGAAACACCGGUUCUCGUCGAUCACUGAAGUUAAGCAACGUCCAGUCUGGUCAGUACUUUGAUGGAUAACCGCUUGGGAAUAACAAAUGCUGUA